GAGCAUUGAGAGGACCUUUCCCUAGUACGAGAUGACCGGGAAGGACGGACCUCUGGUGUACCAGUUAUCAUGCCCAUGAUAAAUGCUGGGUAGCCAAGUGCGGAGCGGAUAACUGCUAAAAGCAUCUAAGUAGUAAGCCCACCCCAAGAUGAGGGCUC
rnacentral:ncRNA from 1 species